GAUGAAUAAGUUCUGGAGAUACAAUGUAUAGCGUGUGAUACCCAGCUCAGAUUGUGUAAUGAAGCCCAUGGAAAAAUGGAAAUGGAAAUUCACUCUAUGAAUAACUUGGCUAUAAGAUUUAUUCUGAGCAACACCAAUCAUUUUACCAUACUCCUAGGGGUCAGGGACUGUUUGGCGUUUCCUGCUACCUUCUGUACAAGGCUUCGCACUGUUUCUGGCACCUUCUAAGGAAGAAAAAUAAAAUGUGCUGACUUGAACCAAAGGCUUGAGUGACAACUACCUAUCCCUAAACAUAAACCAAACCACUGAAAAGAAGUCUGACUGUUCUUUCCUAAGAUGAUCCUAGCAGCCAUCUAAAUAUUUUUUGUUCUAUAACAAAUUUUGUACCAAAUUUGUUCUGUAACAAAUCUAUCUCAUAACUUCCAUCUGAAGUACACAGAAGACAAAACCUGAAAGUUCAUUUGAGAGCAAGUUGUAAAAACAUAUGAGGACAUCUAACUUUGGAUUUCAUCAUCCAUGAAAGAGGCUGUUUGUUAUCAGGAAAAGCCCUGAGGCCUGAAGUUAAAGCUUUGGUAUCUG